GGUUAAGUGACUAAGCGUACAGGGCGGAUGCCUUGGCAAUCAGAGGCGAUGAAGGACGUGCUAAUCUGCGAAAAGCUUGGAUGAGUCGAUAAGAGGCGUUUAAUCCAAGAUGUCCGAAUGGGGAAACCCAGUAGAUGAAGAAUCUACUAUCAAUAAAUGAAUACAUAGUUUAUUGAGGCGAACCGGGAGAACUGAAACAUCUAAGUACCCCGAGGAAAAGAAAUCAACCGAGAUUCUGUGAGUAGCGGCGAGCGAAAGCGGAAGAGCCAGUAAGUUUUAGCUAGCGUAUUAGAGGAAUUGGCUGGGAAGCCAAAUCAAAGAGGGUGAUAAUCCCGUACUCGAAAGUAUGGUAGUGGAACUAAGCUUACGAUAAGUAAGGCGGGACACGAGAAAUCCUGUUUGAAGAUGGGGGGACCAUCCUCCAAGGCUAAAUACUCCUGAUUGACCGAUAGUGAACCAGUACUGUGAAGGAAAGGCGAAAAGAACCCCGGUGAGGGGAGUGAAAUAGAACCUGAAACCCUGUACGUACAAGCAGUAGGAGCGAGGGCAACCUUGUGACUGCGUACCUUUUGUAUAAUGGGUCAGCGACUUAUAUUUUGUAGCGAGGUUAACUGAAUAAGGGAGCCGAAGGGAAACCGAGUCUUAACUGGGCGUUGAGUUGCAAGGUAUAGACCCGAAACCCGGUGAUCUAGCCAUGGGCAGGUUGAAGGUUGGGUAACACUAACUGGAGGACCGAACCGACUAAUGUUGAAAAAUUAGCGGAUGACUUGUGGCUGGGGGUGAAAGGCCAAUCAAACCGGGAGAUAGCUGGUUCUCCCCGAAAUCUAUUUAGGUAGAGCCUUGAGCGGACACCUUCGGGGGUAGAGCACUGUUUCGGCUAGGGGUCCAUCCCGGAUUACCAACCCGAUGCAAACUGCGAAUACCGAAGAGUGAUACUCAGGAGACACACGGCGGGUGCUAACGUUCGUCGUGGAGAGGGAAACAACCCAGACCGCCAGCUAAGGUCCCGAAGUCUAUAUUAAGUGGGAAACGAAGUGGGAAGGCUUAGACAGCUAGGAUGUUGGCUUAGAAGCAGCCAUCAUUUAAAGAAAGCGUAAUAGCUCACUAGUCGAGUCGGCCUGCGCGGAAGAUGUAACGGGGCUCAAAUAUAGCACCGAAGCUGCGGCAUCAGAAUUUAUUCUGUUGGGUAGGGGAGCGUUGUGUAAGCGGAUGAAGGUGGCUCGAGAGGGUUGCUGGACGUAUCACAAGUGCGAAUGCUGACAUAAGUAACGAUAAAACGAGUGAAAAACUCGUUCGCCGGAAGACCAAGGGUUCCUGUCCAACGUUAAUCGGGGCAGGGUGAGUCGGCCCCUAAGGCGAGGCUGAAAAGCGUAGUCGAUGGGAAACGGGUUAAUAUUCCCGUACUUGGUAAAGCUGCGAUGUGGGGACGGAGAAGGUUAGGUAAGCGGACUGUUGGAUAUGUUCGUUUAAGCAGGUAGUUGGAAAGGGUAGGCAAAUCCGCUCUUUCAUACAACAACGAGACGUGAUGACGAGGCUCUACGGAGCUGAAGUUACCGAUACCCAGCUUCCAGGAAAAGCCACUAAGCGAAAGGCUUUACUAAACCGUACUGAAAACCGACACAGGUGGUCAGGUAGAGAAUACUCAGGCGCUUGAGAGAACUCGGGUGAAGGAACUAGGCAAAAUAGCACCGUAACUUCGGGAGAAGGUGCGCUUACAGUAAUUGUAGUCCCUUGCGGAUGAAGGUGAAGUAAGUCGAAGAUACCAGCUGGCUGCAACUGUUUAUUAAAAACACAGCACUCUGCAAACACGAAAGUGGACGUAUAGGGUGUGAUGCCUGCCCGGUGCUGGAAGGUUAAUUGAUGGUGUUAUCGAAAGAGAAGCUCCUGAUCGAAGCCCCAGUAAACGGCGGCCGUAACUAUAACGGUCCUAAGGUAGCGAAAUUCCUUGUCGGGUAAGUUCCGACCUGCACGAAUGGCAUAAUGAUGGCCAGGCUGUCUCCACCCGAGACUCAGUGAAAUUGAAAUCGCCGUGAAGAUGCGGUGUACCCGCGGCUAGACGGAAAGACCCCGUGAACCUUUACUAUAGCUUGACACUGAACAUUGAAUUUUGAUGUGUAGGAUAGGUGGGAGCCUUUGAAGCAGUGACGCCAGUCAUUGUGGAGGCGACCUUGAAAUACCACCCUUUAACGUUUGAUGUUCUAACGAAGUGCCUGAAACGGGUACUCGGACAGUGUCUGGUGGGUAGUUUGACUGGGGCGGUCUCCUCCCAAAGCGUAACGGAGGAGCACGAAGGUUUGCUAAUGACGGUCGGACAUCGUCAGGUUAGUGCAAUGGUAUAAGCAAGCUUAACUGCGAGACGGACAAGUCGAGCAGGUGCGAAAGCAGGUCAUAGUGAUCCGGUGGUUCUGAAUGGAAGGGCCAUCGCUCAACGGAUAAAAGGUACUCCGGGGAUAACAGGCUGAUACCGCCCAAGAGUUCAUAUCGACGGCGGUGUUUGGCACCUCGAUGUCGGCUCAUCACAUCCUGGGGCUGAAGUAGGUCCCAAGGGUAUGGCUGUUCGCCAUUUAAAGUGGUACGCGAGCUGGGUUUAGAACGUCGUGAGACAGUUCGGUCCCUAUCUGCCGUGGGCGUUGGAUGAUUGAUUGGGGCUGCUCCUAGUACGAGAGGACCGGAGUGGACGCAUCACUGGUGUUCCAGUUGUCUCGCCAGAGGCAUUGCUGGGUAGCUAAAUGCGGAAGAGAUAAGUGCUGAAAGCAUCUAAGCACGAAACUUGCCAAGAGAUGAGUCAUCCCUGACUUUAAGUCAGUAAGGGUUGUUGUAGACGACGACGUAGAUAGGUUGGGUGUGUAAGUGUAGUGAUACAUUGAGCUAACCAAUACUAAUUGCCCGAGAGGCUUAACCAU
rnacentral:rRNA from 1 species